UGGGCUGUAGCUCAGUGGUAGAGCGCAUGCCUAGCAUGUGUGAGGCACUGGGUUCUAUUCUCAGCACCACAU
rnacentral:tRNA from 1 species